CGUUGAGUGACAUAAUCUUGGCAAAACUAUCAUUGUUACGACUUGCGUUUAUCAUUUCUUAACUAUCAUAUGUUAAACUAUCCCGCACAUGCAGGUAAACGUCUACUGAAUGAAAAUCAAGCAGUAGAGGCAACUCUCAUCAGACCAGUUGCAGUGGACACGAGAUGGAACAGUUAUUACAUGAUCUUCCAGGCCUUUCAGAAUAAAAAAUAUGCAAUAACAAUCACCGCUCAAAAUGCAGAGUUAUCGUUGUCUGCAUCUCAACAGAUGACUCCUCACGAUUGGGAUCUUCUGACCAAAGCUAUUGCGGUACUGAAGCCAUUCUACAUCACCACAAAAGCGGCGGAGGGGGACAGGGUUUCUGUUUCGGAGGUUAUCCCAAAUAUAAAGAAACUGGAUUACGCUAUCAGGAGCAUAUCCUCAAGUGGAGUCGGAACUCUGAAACCCACGCUGCUUUCCGAAAUGUAAAACCAAGAGACUGAAGAAAUCCAAAGAUAGUGCAGCGAUCUAAAGAGAAUGAGUUAGAAGACCUUCGGAAUCUGAAAGUGGAGUCGCUCUACCUUGACGGGAGAAAAGAUGCAGCAUUGUGAUGAGCUUAGGAUCGACAUUAGACAACUCGCCACUAAGAUCUUGUGGCUGUUACGCCACUAACGUCAACACCGGACGUCACAAUGGGAUUAUAGCCCUCUUAGAGAAAAAUUUUGGAUGGGAAUUGCA